UAGGAGUGUUGGAUGAUUUAGGGAAUUUCGAAUCAAAUGAAGGGUCGAGUGCCAACAAGAGGAAGAAAGAGGAGGAACCAGAUGCAAAGGGAGUUCUCGAGGUUUCACCCUCGACGAGACUCUCAGAUAGUGAUGAUGGAGAUUUCCCCUGCUAGGGAAAACAUUGAUACCCAAUAUGCUUUAACUACUGUAGCUCUAGGUGGAAGAGACCCUGAUUUUACCGAAGUUCAAUAACACUGAAAUGUGAAUGUAACCCAAACUGAGGACACCGAAAUACUGGGAAACUUUACAGGCCGCCAAGAAGAUGCUGAUGUGGGGAGAACGCAAAUCUUGAAGCUGUGGGUGAGCACGAUUCUCUGUCACCGGUGAUGAAUGCAAGUAGGAAUUUUACUAUUUCUAUUUUUGUCUGAAAACUUUUUUGUUGAUAAUGAUGUUCUUGUUUUUGAGCAAGAGCCGUGAGUUAGUUGGUAUUAGGGAAAAAGGUAGGACUUCUGCAAAUGAUGUUAUUGUUAUUCAUGUUGUUAUUUUAUCCAACC
rnacentral:lncRNA from 1 species